CGAGGAGGCUGCGGUGUGGUGCCUGCGGCAGGAUCCUUUCUGCCUUGCGUCGAACUGCAGGGCGAGGGUCGAGACCUGUUCGACACAGAACAUGAUCCGUGUGAACUCAACAACCUGGCGUCCAGAAAGCCGUUGGUUUCGACCUCGGCAAGGGUGGUGCGUGGCGCAAAAGAUGACCAUAGAUUACUUGCAUUGAGGCGCUGCAUUCCAUGCUAUGCCUCUGUCUGUUCUUUGGGGUGGUUCAGAUUAAAGCCUAAUGUCUAAGUUGGAGGCGGGCUGUCUUGAGUUGAAAUUUUUCCUACGGCGAUGUAAUCUUUUGUUGAAGGACAAACAUGCACUGACACACCAUGAAGGUAGAUACUUAGGCUUCAUAUUUGCGGUACCUCUACGCUGAAACCACGAGCGAUUCUCUAUACCAAGGUGUGGUUGUGAACAAAUAAACGUAACAGGCGAUGUCAUGCUC